rnacentral:tRNA from 1 species
CAUAUUAUGCCAGAGGUAUAUGGGCCGCUUUGAUGUGGCGGUUACGAGUAGGAUUACUCUGAUAUGA